rnacentral:rRNA from 1 species
UUAUUGGAUUGUUUGAUCCUGGCUCAGGAUGAACGCUGGCCGCGUGCCUAAUACAUGCAAGUCGAGCGAAUGGAUUAAGAGCUUGCUCUUAUGAAGUUAGCGGCGGACGGGUGAGUAACACGUGGUUAACCUGCCCAUAAGACUGGGAUAACUCCGGGAAACCGGCCCUAAUACCGGAUAACAUUUUGAACCGCAUGGUUCGAAAUUGAAAGGCGGCUUCGGCUGUCACUUAUGGAUGGACCCGCGUCGCAUUAGCUAGUUGGUGAGGUAACGGCUCACCAAGGCAACGAUGCGUAGCCGACCUGAGAGGGUGAUCGGCCACACUGGGACUGAGACACGGCCCAGACUCCUACGGGAGGCAGCAGUAGGGAAUCUUCCGCAAUGGACGAAAGUCUGACGGAGCAACGCCGCGUGAGUGAUGAAGGCUUUCGGGUCGUAAAACUCUGUUGUUAGGGAAGAACAAGUGCUAGUUGAAUAAGCUGGCACCUUGACGGUACCUAACCAGAAAGCCACGGCUAACUACGUGCCAGCAGCCGCGGUAAUACGUAGGUGGCAAGCGUUAUCCGGAAUUAUUGGGCGUAAAGCGCGCGCAGGUGGAAUCUUAAGUCUGAUGUGAAAGCCCACGGCUCAACCGUGGAGGGUCAUUGGAAACUGGCCGACUUGAGUGCAGAAGAGGAAAGUGGAAUUCCAUGUUUAGCGGUGAAAUGCGUAGAGAUAUGGAGGAACACCAGUGGCGAAGGCGACUUUCUGGUCUGUAACUGACACUGAGGCGCGAAAGCGUGGCCAGCA